rnacentral:misc_RNA from 1 species
GCAAACUUGGUCAUUUAGAGGAAGUAAAAGUCGUAACAAGGUUUCCGUAGGUGAACCUGCGGAAGGAUCAUUAUCGAACAAAAUCGAACCUCAGGCUGCUUGCUGCUGGUUCCUUGGAACAUGUGCACGUCUGUGCGUUUGAUUUCUACUCCUUUCUCUCCUGUGCACUAGUGGUGGAGAUCGGUCCAAAAGCAACGAAACCUCUUCGAAGGACGACUUCGAUGGAAAGAAGAAGUUAGCAGCGCUUCCCGGCGCCGCUCGCUCUUUGAACGUUUGCUCCGGAUGGCUCUCCACUGUAUUCAUUUGUCACCCACCGUAUGAAUCGUUGAAGAAAAAAUAUAGACCUUUCGUGUCUUUUAAAUUGCGCAUAACUUUCAACAACGGAUCUCUUGGCUCUCGCAUCGAUGAAGAACGCAGC